CACCUACGGAAGUAAUUGUUACAAUCCGUGCACAUGCGUUAAGGAGCACACACAUUCCCACAACCAGUCAUGUGACAUAAUCAAUGGAGCAUGCAUGUGCACUGGGAACUGGACGGGUAAAACUUGCGAUCUAUCAGAACAGAUUACACUGGACAUUGACGAUUAAGGUAUCAAUCUAACAUCAGACAGAGAUUUUGCAGUGGUUGCAGAAAAGGUUAAAUUAUCGCUACGGACCUACAUGUUGCGGUUCAUCACACGUUUCAAAAUUGCUAUUAACGAUCUAGGGAAGGGAAGCAUAAUAGUAAACUACACACUUUUCUACAACGACACUGCUGGUGCGGUUACAAAUGUUACCAAAGCACAAUUUGAUCUUGCAAAAGGAACAAGCAUCGAGUAUGACGGCGUGACUGUUAAGGCAA